CUCUGACCGCUUUAUAGUCAGUCAGGCCUGCUCAAUGAAAUUUUAAUAGCCGCGAUUUACGUGCUAAGGUAGCAUAAUCAUUUGCCUUUUAAUUGAAGGCUGGAAUGAAAGGUUCAACAUAUAAAAUUCUUUAUUACUUACAUUAAUUGAACUUAGUUUAUAAAUAAAAAAAUUUAUAUAUUUAGGAAGACGACAAGACCCUAUCGAACUUUACUUCAGUUUCACUGGGGCGGUGAUUAAAUUAAAUCUUUUAUUUUAAAUUUUUUAAGAAAAUUUAGUUUAAAAAAUAUGACCAAGUUACCGUAGGGAUAACAGCACAAUAAGUUUUAGGAGACCUUAUCUUAAAAUUUGAUUAUGACCUCGAUGUUGAAUUAAAUUACCUAAAGGAGAAAAAGCUUUUAAGGAAAGUCUGUUCGACUUUUAAAAUUUU
rnacentral:rRNA from 1 species